rnacentral:rRNA from 1 species
CACGUAGGGUGCGAGCGUUGUCCGGAAUUAUUGGGCGUAAAGAGCUCGUAGGCGGUUUGUCGCGUCUGCCGUGAAAGUCCGGGGCUCAACUCCGGAUCUGCGGUGGGUACGGGCAGACUAGAGUGAUGUAGGGGAGGACUGGAAUUCCUGGUGUAGCGGUGAAAUGCGCAGAUAUCAGGAGGAACACCGAUGGCGAAGGCAGGUCUCUGGGCAUUAACUGACGCUGAGGAGCGAAAGCAUGGGGAGCGAACAGG